rnacentral:rRNA from 1 species
GUCUACGGCCCCACCACCCUGAAAGCGCCUGAUCUCAUCUGAUCUCAGAAGCUAAGCAGAGUCAGGUCUGGUUAGUUCUUAGAUAGGAGACCGCAAAAA